rnacentral:rRNA from 1 species
GCUUGUCUCAAAGAUUAAGCCAUGCACGUCUAAGUAUAAGCGAUUAUACUGUGAAACUGCGAAUGGCUCAUUAUAUCAGUUAUAGUUUAUUUGAUGGUCCUUGCUACUUGGAUAACCGUAGUAAUUCUAGAGCUAAUACAUGCAUAAAUCCCCGACUGCUUGGAAGGGGUGUAUUUAUUAGAUGGAAACCAAUUCGGGGUAACCCGGUUUAUGGUGAUUCAUAAUAACUUUUGCGGAUCGCAUGGCCUUGCGCCGGCGAUGAAUCAUUCAAAUUUCUGCCCUAUCAACUUUCGAUGGUAAGGUAUUGGCCUACCAUGGUUACCACGGGUAACGGGGAAUUAGGGUUCGGUUCCGGAGAGGGCGCCUGAGAAAUGGCGACCACAUCCAAGGAAGGCAGCAGG